AUGAUGAUGACUCAAUUAAUAAACUAGUAAAAACUAUUUCUACUAUUUAUCUCGACUCUGGUCAGAGACUUUCAGAGUCACCAUCCUAUUAGAUUACAUAAGAUGUUCUCUCCUCUUAUAAGGAGUGAUCGAUUUCUUAUUGACCACUCACAAUCUCCAUGCAUACUUUUUCAUAUCCAGAAUAUCCCACACAUAUCUUAAAGUGGUAUGCUAAAGAAUAAACU
rnacentral:lncRNA from 1 species